rnacentral:tRNA from 1 species
GCGGGCGUGGCGAAACUGGAAUCCGCGAUGCGCUUAAAACGCAUUGUCCGAAAGGACUUGCAGGUUCGAAUCCUGCCGCCCGCACCA